GCAGCCACUCAUUCAAAGAGUGCGUAAUAGCUCACUGGUCGAGUGAUCCUGCGCCGAAGAUUUCCGGGGCUAAAACUUACUACCGAAGCUACGGCAUCAGUAAUGAUGGGUAGGGGAGCUUCCCAUACGGGUUGAAGCAUGACCGUAAGGACAUGUGGACAGUAUGGGAGUGAGAAUGUUGGCAUGAGUAGCGAGAUGUGGGUGAGAAUCCCACAGGCCGUAAACCCAAGGUUUCCAGGGGAAGGUUCGUCCGCCCUGGGUUAGUCGGGACCUAAGCUGAGGCCGAAAGGCGUAGGUGAUGGACAACAGGUUGAUAUUCCUGUACUACCGAUAACCGUUUGAGAGAUGGGAUGACACAGUAGGAUAAGCUAAGCACACUGUUGGUUAUGUGUGCCCAAGCAUUGAGGCAGUCAAAGUAGGCAAAUCCGCUUUGAUAAUGCUGGGAUGUGAUGGGGAGCGAAAUUUAGUAGCGAAGUAGCUGAUUUCACACUGUCAAGAAAAGUCUCUAUCGAGGUUAAAGGUACCCGUACCGCAAACCGACACAGGUGGGUGAGGAGAGUAUCCUAAGGCCAGCGAGAGAACUGUUGUUAAGGAACUCGGCAAAAUGACCCCGUAACUUAGGGAUAAGGGGUGCCACCAUCAGGUGGCCGCAGAGAAUAGGCCCAAGCGACUGUUUACCAAAAACAUAGGUUUCUGCUAAGUCGCAAGACGAUGUAUAGGAGCUGACGCCUGCCCGGUGCUGGAAGGUUAAGGGGAUCUGUUAGAGCAAUCGAAGCAGUGAACUUAAGCC
rnacentral:rRNA from 1 species